rnacentral:rRNA from 1 species
AACGAACGCUGGCGGCGUGCCUAACACAUGCAAGUCGAACGGGAAAACCCGCAAGGGUGAGUACAGUGGCGCACGGGUGCGUAACACGUGGGUAAUCUGCCCAGAAGCCCGGAAUAACUCCCCGAAAGGGGAGCUAAUGCCGGAUGAGACCACGGGGACAUCGGUUCCUGGGGGAACAGGUGGCCUCUGUAUACAAGCUAUCACUUCUGGAUGAGCACGCGGCCCAUCAGCUAGGUGGCGGGGUAAUGGCCCACCAAGGCUACGACGGGUAGCUGGUCUGAGAGGACGAUCAGCCACACUGGAACUGAGACACGGUCCAGACUCCUACGCGAGGCAGCAGUGGGGAAUCUUGCGCAAUGGGCGAAAGCCUGACGCAGCAACGCCGCGUGUGUGAUGAAGGUCUUCGGAUCGUAAAGCACUGUCGGGAGGGACGAAUAAGGGCCGGGUGAACAAUCCGGUUCGACGACGGUACCUCCAGAGGAAGCACCGGCUAACUCUGUGCCAGCCGCCGCCGUAAUAC